UGGGGAAUUUUGGACAAUGGGCGAAAGCCUGAUCCAGCAAUGCCGCGUGUGUGAAGAAGGCCUUCGGGUUGUAAAGCACUUUUGUCCGGAAAGAAAUCCUUGGCUCUAAUACAGUCGGGGGAUGACGGUACCGGAAGAAUAAGCACCGGCUAACUACGUGCCAGCAGCCGCGGUAAUACGUAGGGUGCAAGCGUUAAUCGGAAUUACUGGGCGUAAAGCGUGCGCAGGCGGUUUGCUAAGACCGAUGUGAAAUCCCCGGGCUCAACCUGGGAACUGCAUUGGUGACUGGCAGGCUAGAGUAUGGCAGAGGGGGGUAGAAUUCCACGUGUAGCAGUGAAAUGCGUAGAGAUGUGGAGGAAUACCGAUGGCGAAGGCAGCCCCCUGGGCAAUACUGACGCUCAUGCACGAAAGCGUGGGGAGCAAACAGGAUUAGAUACCCUGGUAGUCCACGCCCUAAACGAUGUCAACUAGUUGUUGGGGAUUCAUUUCCUAGUAACGUAGCUAACGCGUGAAGUUGACCGCCUGGGGAGUAC
rnacentral:rRNA from 1 species